CCCCCCUACCCUCAUUUCCCGUAAGUGAGAGCACUGCCCGAACUCCAUUCUAGAGGGCCACCUGCGCUACCAAUCCAUCUAAAUAAGGUCUUCUCCCGUCUUCUUCCCUGUUCCUAUGGUCUUGAUCUGCAAAGUGAUUUCCGAAAGCUCCCAAUAGGCCAACGCUUCUAUUAUAAUUAAGUAAGUAGGAAAGAGCUUUAGAUGGGAUUCACACGCAGCUUCUUAUUUUUUCUUUUUUUACCCUACGCGCCUGCUCUUAAG
rnacentral:misc_RNA from 1 species